GGACUACCAGGGUUUCUAAUCCGGUUCGCUCCCCACGCUUUCGCGCUACAGCGUCAGUUAUGAGCCAGAAGGCCGCCUUCGCCACUGGUGUUCCUCCCGAUAUCUACGCAUUUCACUACUACACCGGGAAUUCCACCUUCCUCUCUCACACUCUAGUCGACCAGUAUUGGUCGCAGUUUCAGGGUUGAGCCCUGAGAUUUCACAACCAACUUUGCCAACCGCCUUAACGCGCUUUACGCCCAGUAAAUCCGGAUAACGCUCGCCCCCUACGUAUUACCGCGGCGGCUGGCAC
rnacentral:rRNA from 1 species